rnacentral:rRNA from 1 species
UACGUAGGGGGCAAGCGUUGUCCGGAAUCAUUGGGCGUAAAGAGCGUGUAGGCGGCUCGAUAAGUCUGCUGUGAAAGUCCAGGGCUCAACCCUGGAAGGCCGGUGGAAACUGUCGGGCUAGAGUCCGGAAGAGGCGAGUGGAAUUCCCGGUGUAGCGGUGAAAUGCGUAGAGAUCGGGAGGAACAUCAGUGGCGAAGGCGGCCAUCUGGGACAACACUGACGCUGAGGCACGAAAGCGUGGGGAGCAAACAGG